GGGGUUGUGGCUCAGUGAUAGAGCGCUCGCCUAGCACUUGUGAGACCCUGGGUUCGAUCCUCAGCAGCACAU
rfam:Ictidomys tridecemlineatus contig077758, whole genome shotgun sequence.